CAAUAGCGUAUAUUUAAGUUGUUGCAGUUAAAAAGCUCGUAGUUGGAUUUCGGAUGGGACUUGCCGGUCCGUCGUUUCGAUGUGCACUGGCCAGUCCUAUCUUGUUGUCGGGGACUAGCUCCUGGGCUUCACUGUCCGGGACUAGGAGCUGACGAGGUUACUUUGAGUAAAUUAGAGUGUUCAAAGCAAGCCUACGCUCUGAAUACAUUAGCAUGGAAUAACUCGAUAGGACUCUGGCUUAUCUUGUUGGUCUGUGAGACCAGAGUAAUGAUUAAGAGGGACAGUCGGGGGCAUUCGUAUUUCAUUGUCAGAGGUGAAAUUCUUGGAUUUAUGAAAGACGAACUUCUGCGAAAGCAUUUGUCAAGGAUGUUUUCAUUAA
rnacentral:rRNA from 1 species